rnacentral:rRNA from 1 species
AGCGAACGCUGGCGGCAGGCCUAACACAUGCAAGUCGAACGAACUCUUCGGAGUUAGUGGCGGACGGGUGAGUAACACGUGGGAACGUGCCUUUAGGUUCGGAAUAACUCAGGGAAACUUGUGCUAACACCGGAUGUGCCCUUCGGGGGAAAGAUUUAUCGCCAUUGGAGCGGCCCGCGUCUGAUUAGCUAGUUGGUGAGGUAAAGGCUCACCAAGGCGACGAUCAGUAGCUGGUCUGAGAGGAUGAUCAGCCACAUUGGGACUGAGACACGGCCCAAACUCCUACGGGAGGCAGCAGUGGGGAAUCUUGCGCAAUGGGCGAAAGCCUGACACAGCCAUGCCGCGUGAAUGAUGAAGGUCUUAGGAUUGUAAAUUUCUUUCACCGGGGACGAUAAUGACGGUACCCGGAGAAGAAGCCCCGGCUAACUUCGUGCCAGCAGCCGCGGUAA